rnacentral:rRNA from 1 species
CGGGAGGACGGCUUAACACAUGCAGUCGAGCGGAAACGAGUUAUCUGAACCUUCGGGGAACGAUAACGGCGUCGAGGGCGGACGGGUGAGUAAUGCCUAGGAAAUUGCCCUGAUGUGGGGKAUAACCAUUGGAAACGAUGGCUAAUACCGCAURAUGCCUACGGGYCAAAGAGGGGGACCUUCGGGCCUCUCGCGUCAGGAUAUGCCUWGGUGGKAUUAGCUAGUUGGUGAGGUAAGGGCUCACCWAGGCGACGAUCCCUAGCUGGYCUGAGAGGAUGAUCAGCCACACUGGAACUGAGACACGGUCCAGACUCCUACGGGAGGCAGCWGUGGGGAAUAUUGCACAAUGGGCGCAAG